UUUUAUGGAGAGUUUGAUCCUGGCUCAGGAUGAACGCUGGCGGCGUGCCUAAUACAUGCAAGUCGAGCGAACGGACGAGAAGCUUGCUUCUCUGAUGUUAGCGGCGGACGGGUGAGUAACACGUGGAUAACCUACCUAUAAGACUGGGAUAACUUCGGGAAACCGGAGCUAAUACCGGAUAAUAUUUUGAACCGCAUGGUUCAAAAGUAAAAGACGGUCUUGCUGUCACUUAUAGAUGGAUCCGCGCUGCAUUAGCUAGUUGGUAAGGUAACGGCUUACCAAGGCAACGAUGCAUAGCCGACCUGAGAGGGUGAUCGGCCACACUGGAACUGAGACACGGUCCAGACUCCUACGGGAGGCAGCAGUAG
rnacentral:rRNA from 1 species